AUCUUCCCCAAGAGUCCAUAUCGACGGGAAGGUUUGGCACCUCGAUGUCGGCUCAUCGCAUCCUGGGGCUGAAGCAGGUCCCAAGGGUUGGGCUGUUCGCCCAUUAAAGCGGUACGCGAGCUGGGUUUAGAACGUCGUGAGACAGUUCGGUCCCUAUCCGUCGUGGGUGUUAGAUAUUUGAAGGGAGCUGCUCCUAGUACGAGAGGACCGGAGUGGACGUACCCCUGGUGUUCCGGUUGUCACGCCAGUGGCACUGCCGGGUAGCUAUGUACGGAAGGGAUAACCGCUGAAAGCAUCUAAGUGGGAAGCCCUUUUCGAGAUGAGAUCUCUCACCGGGAUAACCGGGUAAGGCCCGUGGCAGACCACCACGUUGAUAGGCCGGAGGUGUACGUGCGGUAACGCAUUCAGCCGACCGGUACUAAUCGGCCGAGGGCUUGGUUAC
rnacentral:rRNA from 1 species